AUUGAACGCUGGCGGCAUGCCUAACACAUGCAAGUCGAACGGCAGCACGGCAGUAGCAAUACUGUGGGUGGCGAGUGGCGGACGGGUGAGGAAUACGUCGGAAUCUGCCCAGUCGUGGGGGAUAACUAGCCGAAGGUUAGCUAAUACCGCAUACGACCGAGAGGUGAAAGCGGGGGACCGGCAAGGCCUCGCGCGAUUGGAUGAGCCGACGUCGGAUUAGCUAGUUGGAGGGGUAAAGGCCCACCAAGGCGACGAUCCGUAGCUGGUCUGAGAGGAUGAUCAGCCACACUGGAACUGAGACACGGUCCAGACUCCUACGGGAGGCAGCAGUGGGGAAUAUUGGACAAUGGGCGCAAGCCUGAUCCAGCAAUGCCGCGUGUGUGAAGAAGGCCUUCGGUUGUAAGACACUUUAUCAGGAACGAAAGACGUUGGA
rnacentral:rRNA from 1 species